rnacentral:rRNA from 1 species
AUUGAACGCUGGCGGCAGGCCUAACACAUGCAAGUCGAGCGGAUGAAGGGAGCUUGCUCCUGGAUUCAGCGGCGGACGGGUGAGUAAUGCCUAGGAAUCUGCCUGGUAGUGGGGGAUAACGUCCGGAAACGGGCGCUAAUACCGCAUACGUCCUGAGGGAGAAAGUGGGGGAUCUUCGGACCUCACGCUAUCAGAUGAGCCUAGGUCGGAUUAGCUAGUUGGUGGGGUAAAGGCCUACCAAGGCGACGAUCCGUAACUGGUCUGAGAGGAUGAUCAGUCACACUGGAACUGAGACACGGUCCAGACUCCUACGGGAGGCAGCAGUGGGGAAUAGUGGACAAUGGGCGAAAGCCUGAUCCAGCCAUGCCGAGUGUGUGAAGAAGGUCUUCGGAUUGUAAAGCACUUUAAGUUGGGAGGAAGGGCAGUAAGUUAAUACCUUGCUGUUUUGACGUUACCAACAGAAUAAGCACCGGCUAACUUCGUG